rnacentral:rRNA from 1 species
GCUAGUAAUCGCAGGUCAGCAUACUGCGGUGAAUACGUUCCCGGGUCUUGUACACACCGCCCGUCACACCAUGGGAGCCGGAAAUGCCCGAAGCCAGUGACCCAACCUUAGGGAGGGAGCUGUCGAAGGUGGAGCCGGUAACUGGGGUGAAGUCGUAACAAGGUAUC